rnacentral:lncRNA from 1 species
GGAGCGCGGGGCUCAGGGCCAGGGCCCGCCUCCAGGGGGCGGUGUGCGCCCCCGGCGCUGGAGCAGCCGCGUUUCGGGGACCCGGGCAGGCGUGGGGGGCUGCGCUGAGCUCCAGGCCUCCUGCAGGUGCAAUAAGAAUCGUAUUACUAAUGUGGUGUCCUCUGGAAUGGUCACAUGAACACAGUUCCCUGCAGAUGUAAUUGGGAGAGAAGGCACAGUCCUGACACAGGGUAAGACUGUGGAGGUGUAUUGCUGUCCCUACCAGCCUGGAGUGCAGUAGUGUAAUCUCGGCUCACUGCAGCCUCAAACUUCUGGGCUCGAGCGAUCCUCUCACCUCAGCCUCCUGAGUAGCUGGGACUACAGGUGCGUGCCACCAUGUCUAGGUUUCUCCUUCUCGUCUUCCAAAGCUGUGCCUUAACUUCCUCGAAAGACAACAUCAGUGCUGGCGGGCCUCAAGAAGAGCCAUCCCAAGGUAUUGACUAGGCAUCAGCGUCUUCACCAGGGCAACACAGAACAUCCCUGCAGAGUUCCUGGUGGCUGCAGUGGCUGGUAGGGGAUGUAUGCCUGCUUUCCAUCAGAUUCCCAAAGCGGAGCCCCUGGAGGCUUUGGCCCAUGGCCCUGAAGCUCCCUUUCACAAGGAAGAAAGACUUUGCAAAGCCAACACCACUAUUGGAGAGAAAGUGGAGAAUGUGUAUUAGAAGUACUAGUCUUUGAAGGCAAAACAGCUGUAUAGAGUGAGCUUAAGUGCUGGAUCCCUGUGGUUAGGAAGGGACACUAAGCCUCCGGGAUGUGAGAGUCCCAUGGAAGGCAGUAGGCCCAGGAUAAAGCAGGUGUCAGCUCAGAAAGCCCACCAUCACCCAGAAAAGGGAAGAAAUACGCUACCACCAUCACUCUUUCUGCCAAUGACUUCUUUGCACACCUCCACCCUAUCUCCUGGCUCAGUCUCCCAUGUUCUCAUAGCUAGGGAGGUCUCCAUUGUAAUUUGUAUGGGGAGGUUAACCUAUAGGCCAUUCUGAUGAUCCCAGCUCCCUUUCACUACAACCCCCGUCUGCAUCCUUUGCUUUGCAGUAGGAUUUGAGAGAGGAAGGAUGAAGAUGUAGCCACAGGAUACAUUUAAACAGGCACAGAGUUUGAGGGGUGGGGGGGAACAAAAGCAAAACAAUAAAACCUUCACCAGUCAUUAAAGAAAUGAAAAUGAACCUUUUGAGAUUGUCAAUUUUUAUCUGCUAAGUCAAGAAAAGCUAAUUUAAUUCCUGGCAAUUUCACAAUAAAAAAAAUUGUGCUAGCUCUUGGUGGCAUUGUAA